UGGGGGUUUGGGGCAAAUGGUGAUGGUGAUGAUGAUGACGAUGAUGAUGAUGAUGAUGAUGAUGGGAAUGGGAUGGUAUCGACAGCCACCAGGAAAGGGGCUCGAGUACGUUGCAGAAAUUAACCCCGGCAGCAGUGGCACAUGGUACGCGCCGUCGGUCAAGGGCCGCUUCACCAUCUCCCGGGACAACUCCCAGAGCACGGUCACGCUGCAGAUGAACAGCCUCAGGGCCCACGACACGGCCACCUACUACUGCGCCAGAUAUCCUGCUGGGCUGCGGGCGGCCGUGCAGCUGGUUGAGUCCGGAGGGGGUCUCCAGCCCCCCGGGGGGUCCGUGCCCCUCGUCUGCACGGCCUCCGGCUUCUCCCUCAGCAGCUACGCCAUGGAGUGGGUCCGACAGGCACCUGGGAAGGGGCUCGAGUACGUUGCGGGUAUUAACAGCGGUGGUAGUGGCACAUGGUACGCGCCGUCGGUUGAGGGCCGCUUCACCAUCUCCCGAGACGACUCCCAGAGCACGGUCACGCUGCAGAUGAACAGCCUCAGGGCCGACGACACGGCCACCUACUACUGCGCGAGAGAUGGUACUG